rnacentral:rRNA from 1 species
AGAAUCAACGCUGGCGGCGUGCCUAACACAUGCAAGUCGAACGAGAAAGUGGAACAAUCCAUGAGUAAAGUGGCGCACGGGUGAGUAACACGUGACUAACCUACCCUUGAGUGGGGGAUAACCUAGAGAAAUCUGGGCUAAUACCGCAUAAUACCUACGGGUCAAAGGAGCAAUUCGCUUUAGGAGGGGGUCGCGGUCGAUUAGUUAGUUGGCGGGGUAAUGGCCCACCAAGACAGUGAUCGAUA